rnacentral:tRNA from 1 species
GCUAUAGCUCAGCUGGAUAGAGCGACCGCCUCCUAAGCGGUAGGUCAGAGGUUCAAAUCCUCUUAGC